rnacentral:misc_RNA from 1 species
GAUGAAGAACGGAGCGAAAUGCGAUAAGUAAUGUGAAUUGCAGAAUUCAGUGAAUCAUCGAAUCUUUGAACGCACAUUGCGCCCGCCAGUAUUCUGGCGGGCAUGCCUGUUCGAGCGUCAUUUCAACCAUCAAGCCCCAGGCUUGUGUUGGGGACCUGCGGCUGCCGCAGGCCCUGAAAACCAGUGGCGGGCUCGCUGUCACACCGGGCGUAGUAGAUUUUAUCUCGCUCAGGGCGUGCUGCGGGUUCCGGCCGUUAAAAAGCCUUUUUUACCCAAGGUUGACCUCGGAUCAGGCAGGAAGACCCGCUGAACUUAAGCAUAUCAAUAAGCGGAGGA